GGCUACAAUCUAGCAAGGCUUAGAGGCGGAACAGCCUUCUUAAUCAGGUCCUGCUACGUAUGAUGAUGACUAAGCUCCAAGUACAACAGACAAAACUGGUUUGAGAAUUUUAAAGCACUCACAAUACAGCUUCUAUAACAUCAGUGGCAACUUACCAUUCAACUCAGGCAAAAGACCCAAUGGGGAAAGCAUCUUAUAAUGGGAACUGAAAGUACCCCUCAGGCAAUAACAACUGCCCUGACACCAGCAAGACCCCACAUUUUUUACACCAAGAAAAUGAUGGACCUGACCGACCUUUAAGGCCCACAUGCAUGUAUGUACCCAUCAACCUCUGUCUCAUAUUUUUCUUAUAUAAACCUAUAAGAAUUUUCUGCACUUUGGAGAUACUCUUUGAAACAGCAGUCCAUUAUCUUCCUGGUGUUGGCUUAAUUGAAAUAAAAUCCCUUCUUGUUUUACCAUCA